rnacentral:rRNA from 1 species
GGGAGUAUCCAUCCUACCAUGCAGUCGACGGUGAACCAGGGGCUUGCCUCUGGGGAUCAGUGGCGAACGGGUGAGUAACACGUGAGCAACCUGCCCCGGACUCUGGGAUAAGCGCUGGAAACGGCGUCUAAUACCGGAUAUGAGCUUCCAUCGCAUGGUGGGGGUUGGAAAGAUUUUUCGGUUCGGGAUGGGCUCGCGGCCUAUCAGCUUGUUGGUGAGGUAAUGGCUCACCAAGGCGUCGACGGGUAGCCGGCCUGAGAGGGUGACCGGCCACACUGGGACUGAGACACGGCCCAGACUCCUACGGGAGGCAGCAGUGGGGAAUAUUGCACAAUGGGCGCAAGCCUGAUGCAGCAACGCCGCGUGAGGGAUGACGGCCUUCGGGUUGUAAACCUCUUUUAGCAGGGAAGAAGCGAUAGUGACGGUACCUGCAGAAAAAGCGCCGGCUAACUACGUGCCAGCACCCGCGGUAAUACGUAGGGCGCAAGCGUUAUCCGGAAUUAUUGGGCGUAAAGAGCUCGUAGGCGGUUUGUCGCGUCUGCUGUGAAAACCCGAGGCUCAACCUCGGGCCUGCAGUGGGUACGGGCAGACUACAGUGCGGUAGGGGAGAUUGGAAUUCCUGGUGUAGCGGAGGAAUGCACAGAAAUCCCGAGUAAUACCGGUGGCUACGUAAAUUUUUGGGAGCGCACCUGACGCUAAAGAGACUUUGCUGGUC